UACGGGGGGGGCAAGCGUUGUUCGGAAUUACUGGGCGUAAAGGGCUCGUAGGCGGCCAACUAAGUCGGAUGUGAAAUCCACAGGCUUAACCUGGGAACUGCAUCCGAUACUGGAUGGCUUGAAUCCGGGAGAGGGAUGCGGAAUUCCAGGUGUAGCGGUGAAAUGCGUAGAUAUCUGGAGGAACACCGGUGGCGAAGGCGGCAUCCUGGACCGGCAUUGACGCUGAGGAGCGAAAGCGUGGGGAGCAAACAGG
rnacentral:rRNA from 1 species